rnacentral:rRNA from 1 species
CACGUAGGGGGCGAGCGUUGUCCGGAUUUAUUGGGCGUAAAGAGCUCGUAGGCGGCUCAGUAAGUCAGGUGUGAAAACUCCAGGCUCAACCUGGAGACGCCACCUGAUACUGCUGUGGCUAGAGUCCGGUAGGGGAGCAUGGAAUUCCUGGUGUAGCGGUGAAAUGCGCAGAUAUCAGGAGGAACGCCAGUGGCGAAGGCGGUGCUCUGGGCCGGAACUGACGCUGAGGCACGAAGGCGUGGGGAGCGAACGGG